UACGUAGGGUGCGAGCGUUGUCCGGAAUUACUGGGCGUAAAGAGCUCGUAGGUGGUUUGUCGCGUUGUUCGUGAAAACUCACAGCUCAACUGUGGGCGUGCGGGCGAUACGGGCAGACUGGAGUACUGCAGGGGAGACUGGAAUUCCUGGUGUAGCGGUGGAAUGCGCAGAUAUCAGGAGGAACACCGGUGGCGAAGGCGGGUCUCUGGGCAGUAACUGACGCUGGAGGCGCGAAAGCGUGGGGAGCAAACAGG
rnacentral:rRNA from 1 species